rnacentral:rRNA from 1 species
AUUGAACGCUGGCGGAAUGCUUUACACAUGCAAGUCGAGCGGCAGCACGGGGGCAACCCUGGUGGCGAGCGGCGAACGGGUGAGUAAUACAUCGGAACAUGCCCAGUCGUGGGGGGAUAACACUUCGAAAGAAGUGCUAAUACCGCAUACGUCCUGAGGGAGAAAGCGGGGGAUCGCAAGACCUCGCGCGAUUGGAGUGGCCGAUGUCAGAUUAGCUAGUUGGUGGGUAAAGGCCUACCAAGGCAACGAUCUGUAGCUGGUCUGAGAGGAUGAUCAGCCACACUGGGACUGAGACACGGCCCAGACUCCUACGGGAGGCAGCAGUGGGGAAUUUUGGACAAUGGGGGCAACCCUGAUCCAGCCAUUCCGCGUGAGUGAAGAAGGCCUGGUGUAAGAUCUUCUAGCAGGAACGAAACGGACGAGUACUAAUAACUGCUCGCUAAUGACGGUACCGU